CGCUGGCAUGCGUGCUUCUGCAUAUAGCCUUAUUGACCGCUGAGGAGCGAAAGUAGUCGUUCGGAGUUUAAAGCGAUUGAAAUCCGCAAAGAUACACAACUGAUUCACACAUUUUCGAUCUUCAUGACGCCCGCUGCGUACACUUUUGACUGCUUUCGAUAUGGGACGACUCACACAAAAAGUUCGCUUUCCCACCGCCACGUGGCCGCGCAAAGCGCCACGUAGCGCCACGCUCCUCGGGGUUGCGCUCUACAACUUGCAGUUACGCGAUUAUUUUAUGUUAACUAACUAUGACAAUUAGUUAUGUAAGCUAAUUAACGUCUGCACUAAUUACUGGUACGCCACCACCUUUGAGUAGGCCCCACCGAUAAUAGAUAUAUUCAAUAACUUUUCUUAAAGCAAAGCGAAUCGCGAACUUAAGAAAAAUCUGCUCAGACUUACGUGACGCAGCCUGUAUGCGCUCCAGGCUUGUACCUUCACGCUCCUCUCUAAGCGACAGCGAGGUGCUCCAGUUGACCGGUCUUCUUUCGGACCACUGUGAAGUCUGCUGGCGUCCCGCUGGCCACCGACUGAUAAAGACUACUUCGAGCGGCAGUGGCUUACCAACGUUCAUCUCUGGAAUUAGUUUGCGGGUGAGGACGAUCUCCGCACAAACGAUCACGCCGAAGGGUGGCAUAAUUCGCUGCGCAUGAAAUUCAAGAGCCAACCCCACAUGACGUUUUCGAAGUUCCUCGUCGAAUUUGAGUCAACCAUACACAAUGUAAGCACAACCAGGUAUGCAUUCGGCUGCUGUUGAACGGGGCUUCGCCAAGCAGGAGACGAUACAAGAGGCGCGCUCUUCCUUCUGAUGGGCGUACGGAAAAUACAGCUCAGGGGAAAUGAUGCUGGGAAACGAAGCACCCUUCACAGACGUAACAGAGCAGUUUGCUCAUGUCAUCAAGGCAUACCUGCAGCGCAUGUCCCACUUGCUGGGCCAUGCUAACUAAUAAGUUAGUUGUUCAAAGGAAAAAACAACAGCAAAUAAACGGAGCAGGCUGAGCAUUUGUUUCUCGUUUUACUCGGUGUAUAAAAUCUUUCAGCGGGAAUGUUUAAAUCUUACCUUCAACUAAUAAGUCAGUUGUUGGAAUGAAAAAAAGAAAG